GACGUAGGGCGCGAGCGUUGUCCGGAUUUAUUGGGCGUAAAGAGCUCGUAGGCGGCUUGUCGCGUCGUCCGUGAAAACCCACAGCUCAACUGUGGGCUUGCGGUCGAUACGGGCAGGCUAGAGUUCGGUAGGGGAGACUGGAAUUCCUGGUGUAGCGGUGAAAUGCGCAGAUAUCAGGAGGAACACCGGUGGGCGAAGGCGGGUCUCUGGGCCGAAUACUG
rnacentral:rRNA from 1 species